GACUACUCGAGUUAUUGUGCUCAGAAUCGUUGCUUUUGAUAUUCUCGCCUAAAAUAAAACCAAACGGUCACUUAAAAGAAGGUUUAAACAAUUCGAGUUGUAAACAACUCUGGCGAAAACAAACGAAUCACCGUUUAACGGAAGUCCUAUGAUUACCGAUAUUAAGGAUGCUUGUACUUACCCGACAACAGCAACAACCAAAACGUGCAAAUACAAGCAACAAUUGGAUGAAGGAAAAGAAAAGAAAAAAAUAAAAAGAAAGGAACGAAAAAGGAAGAAGAAAAUGAAAGAAAUGGAUAGUAGCAGGAGAAGGAAAUGUUCAAUUUAAGUUAACC
rnacentral:lncRNA from 1 species